rnacentral:tRNA from 3 species
CGGGGUAUGGUGUAACGGCAACAUUUGCGCAUGGGGUGCGUAAGAUUCUGGGUUCGAAUCCCAGUACCCCGA